rnacentral:rRNA from 1 species
UACGGGGGGAGCAAGCGUUGUUCGGAUUUACUGGCGUAAAGGGCGCGUAGGCGGUCAGCACAAGUCAGUUGUGAAAUCUCCGGGCUUAACUCGGAAAGGUCAACUGAUACUGUGCGACUAGAGUGCAGAAGGGCAACUGGAAUUCUCGGUGUAGCGGUGAAAUGCGUAGAUAUCGAGAGGAACACCUGCGGCGAAGGCGGGUUGCUGGGCUGACACUGACGCUGAGGCGCGAAGGCCAGGGAGCAAACGGG